rnacentral:rRNA from 1 species
UAGGGANUCUUCCACAAUGGGCGCAAGCCUGAUGGAGCAACACCGCGUGAGUGAAGAAGGGUUUCGGCUCGUAAAGCUCUGUUGUUAAAGAAGAACACGUAUGAGAGUAACUGUUCAUACGUUGACGGUAUUUAACCAGAAAGUCACGGCUAACUACGUGCCAGCAGCCGCGGUAAUACGUAGGUGGCAAGCGUUAUCCGGAUUUAUUGGGCGUAAAGAGAGUGCGGGCGGUUUUCUAAGUCUGAUGUGAAAGCCUUCGGCUUAACCGGAGAAGUGCAUCGGAAACUGGAUAACUUGAGUGCAGAAGAGGGUAGUGGAACUCCAUGUGUAGCGGCGGAAUGCGUAGAUAUAUGGAAGAACACCAGUGGCGAAGGCGGCUACCUGGUCUGCAACUGACGCUGAGACUCGGAAGCAUGGGUAGCGAACAGGAUUAGAUACCCUGGUAGUCCAUGCCGUAAACGAUGAGUGCUAGGUGUUGGAGGGUUUCCGCCCUUCAGUGCCGGAGCUAACGCAUUAAGCACUCCGCCUGGGGAGUACGACCGCAAGGUUG